rnacentral:rRNA from 1 species
AGAGUGAACGCUGGCGGCAGGCCUAACACAUGCAAGUCGAACGGCAGCACAGGAGAGCUUGCUCUCUGGGUGGCGAGUGGCGGACGGGUGAGGAAUACGUCGGAAUCUGCCUAUUUGUGGGGGAUAACGUAGGGAAACUUACGCUAAUACCGCAUACGACCUACGGGUGAAAGCGGAGGACCUUCGGGCUUCGCGCAGAUAGAUGAGCCGACGUCGGAUUAGCUAGUUGGCGGGGUAAAGGCCCACCAAGGCGACGAUCCGUAGCUGGUCUGAGAGGAUGAUCAGCCACACCUGGAACUGAGACACGGUCCAGACUCCUACGGGAGGCAGCAGUGGGGAAUAGUUGGACAAGUGGGCGCAAGCCUGAUCCAGCCAUGCCGCGUGUCGUGAAGAACGGUCCGUUGGUUAGUAAGCGUACUUUUAGGUAACGG